rnacentral:rRNA from 2 species
GCAACGAGCGCAACCCUUAUCCUUUGUUGCCAGCGAUUAGGUCGGGAACUCAAAGGAGACUGCCAGUGAUAAACUGGAGGAAGGUGGGGAUGACGUCAAGUCAUCAUGGCCCUUACGACCAGGGCUACACACGUGCUACAAUGGCGCAUACAAAGAGAAGCGACCUCGCGAGAGCAAGCGGACCUCAUAAAGUGCGUCGUAGUCCGGAUUGGAGUCUGCAACUCGACUCCAUGAAGUCGGAAUCGCUAGUAAUCGUGGAUCAGAAUGCCACGGUGAAUACGUUCCCGGGCCUUGUACACACCGCCCGUCACACCAUGGGAGUGGGUUGCAAAAGAAGUAGGUAGCUUAACCUUCGGGAGGGCGCUUACCACUUUGUGAUUCAUGACUGGGGUGAAGUCGUAACAAGGUAACCGUAGGGGAACCUGCGGUUGGAUCACCUCCUUACCUUAAAGAA